rnacentral:lncRNA from 1 species
UAGAAUGGCAGGUCCCGGGGUGCAUCUCCCCUGCCCAUUCGGAUUCCACCCGACUAAACCUGGUGGGUGAGCGAGCUUGCAAGCUAGCUUGCUAAGCUAGACAGUUACUACAGUAGAUCUGCUUCCCCACUACCAACCUCACUUCAUGCACCCUAUUCGUACAUAAUUUGUGGAUUGGACAUCGACUAGGAGGAUCCAAGUGCUCCGCGGGACCAUUUCGAUUGCAAUUAGACGCAUCCGUUGGACUCAGUAGCCCAUCUCCUCGACCUUGUCUGCGGAAGCACAAAUUUCGGAAAUACAAUUUGAAAUUACGGAUUUGAAGUCUUCUGCAGUUUGUUGUGCUGGAGGAGAAGUGAACGGACAUCAUUCAUUACGGUUUAGGGUUGGUAUUUGUGAGUAAAGCUGGUUUGAAGUUGCAGGUAGAGGAAGCGAGCAUGUGCUGGUUGCGUCGGUGACAAAGCGAGACAGAGGGUUCUUGGAUCAUAUUGGUGCCGAAAGUUUUAAGGGUGAAGCCUGGACUAAGUCCCCUUGGCAACAAAUAUUGCGAGAUUCCCUGUUUCGAUGAGUAGAGGCAGACGAUGUCGAGAAUCAGCAUAGGGUGGCAAGUUCUGGAGCCCAACGAGGUUCUAUCGCUCAUGUUCAAAGCCUACCUGCUGUCUCUUGUCCUUGUUAUUUCAGUUGUGGUGUGGACUGCCAGCGAUGCCUGGACCCUAUACGUCGAGUAUUACUACAUGACGAGUCUUUCCAUCAGGGUUUCUAAUUACUCCAAUUUCUGAUGCACCACACAAGUAGCGUAACACAAUUUCAUUGAUCUGUCUGUCUCUCUCCGGCAGCCUUUUACAGUGCAUUGGUCUCCCUUCAAAACGGCACGUUACGUGCAAUUCCAAGGUCUGAAGCCUGAUUACCUUCUCCUUGAUAUUUGGGGCCACAGACCGAUCUCCCUCUCUCUGUCUACAGUAUCGUUCCGCAAAAUUGAAUGACAUCACCGCAAGUCGGAAAUCCUGAUCUAGCUCCACAGCUGAUCAUACCCAUCAACUCCCUAGUAUGCGUCAUCCUGGACAUAGCAUCUUGAACAUUAUGGGAUCUAGCUUCCUUGAUAUCCACAUCGAAGGACUAUGCUUCCAGUUUCACAGUCCAGGGUUAUGCUGUGGUGGAUUUUCUGCGAGCUUCAAGUACAACGAAAAUUUAGGACGUUGUUAAGCUGAUAAAUUUGUUGGAGUCUCAGGAUACAGAGCCUGCCGGAGCAGAGUUUGAUGCAGUCUUGUAGAAGAUUCCAUUUCCGUUUGUGGUGUCCUGGGGAUCUGAAUGGGAAACAGAACUGCAGACAGGAUGCUGGGGACCCUCAUGUCCGGGUAGAGGAGUCAAUCGUGAUUAUUGGCGAUUGCAGAUUCCUGAAUUUCACCUGAAGCCAUUCGAGAAUGUCAAAGGUUUAAGCUCUAUAAAUAAGUUCAAUCUGUAAAAUGUCUACAUAUUAUACUAUGUCAGAUAUAUAGCAUCUUAUCUCCGGUUCAUUGACGCAGUUUUCUGUAGAUUCAGUUUUCAGGUUGCGUUUACAUCCUGUAGAGGGCCGACGCAUGUUAAUGGACGCAACGUAUGACAUAUUUUUCUUCAGAGGAUCUUCAAGGUGAGUAGUGUCUCAAAUUGCAUAACUGAAGUUACGAGGUAGCUGUAUGCAUUUAUGCGUACAAGGUCGCACUAGGCCUGCAUAUUCUGAGGCACUGCUUCAAUUUAAUAAGUGUCCCUUAUUUUCUGAUUUUUCCAGAUUACAGACCUGAGUCCAUGACUUUUCUGACUGUUUGGUUCAGACUAAAAAAUGUUUAAGCAUACACAACCUGUAUAUGCCGUGGACUGGUAAUGUUCACAGUUAGUCCAACAUUGUUUGCCGCAAUUACAACAUUUCUAGACAAGUUUCGCAAUAUAUCAUCCAACGUCCUGGACAUGAAAGGUGUAACGCCAACUUAGCUUUCAAAUUACAUCUUGAAAUAUUUGUCAAAGGUUAUUUCACCAUUUUAAACGAUGAUUAAUUUUGUGUCCCACCAGCUUGCAAUUACAAAUCCCGAAUAAUGUGGGAACUAAGACUUGCAGUUCAUGUUUCGGGCUAAUCAGAGUCUAAUCCGUUGAAAUGCGUGUCUCGAGCUCCAUAUGCGUUCUGACAUCUCGUUAGGGCCCUUCCCAUUAUGUCUCAUGUCGCACUCCUUUAACGUGUGCUAGCAUCGUCGGUAACUCACCAUAAAGCUUCACAACCAGAACAUCAAAGUUGGGGGAAAGACUUCAAUUAAGUUACUGAGAGAUUUUUAUUUUUUAUGUAGAGCAUAAAAAAAUUAGAUAAUUAAAAUUUUAGACAUCGUUUAGGAUAUUGAUUUAAUUUUAUUAGAAUUUCUACAAUAAUACCUACUAUUAGUUAAAUAUUUAGUCAUGUUUUUAAUUAAUAUUCUAUGAAUUAAUUUUUUAUUAAUAUUUUAUAUAAUAGAAUUAACAUAUUAAUGAAAAAAAAUAUUAUAAAUUAUUGUGUUAAAAUAUUUAA